UUGGUGCUUGCAUCAUGAUUUACAUUUGAGUGAGUGGCGAACUGGUGAGUAACACGUGGGAAACCUGCCCAGAAGCGGGGGAUAACACCUGGAAACAGAUGCUAAUACCGCAUAACAACUUGGACCGCAUGGUCCGAGUUUGAAAGAUGGCUUCGGCUAUCACUUUUGGAUGGUCCCGCGGCGUAUUAGCUAGAUGGUGGGGUAACGGCUCACCAUGGCAAUGAUACGUAGCCGACCUGAGAGGGUAAUCGGCCACAUUGGGACUGAGACACGGCCCAAACUCCUACGGGAGGCAGCAGUAGGGAAUCUUCCACAAUGGACGAAAGUCUGAUGGAGCAACGCCGCGUGAGUGAAGAAGGGUUUCGGCUCGUAAAACUCUGUUGUUAAAGAAGAACAUAUCUGAGAGUAACUGUUCAGGUAUUGACGGUAUUUAACCAGAAAGCCACGGCUAACUACGUGCCAGCAGCCGCGGUAAUACGUAGGUGGCAAGCGUUGUCCGGAUUUAUUGGGCGUAAAGCGAGCGCAGGCGGUUUUUUAAGUCUGAUGUGAAAGCCUUCGGCUCAACCGAAGAAGUGCAUCGGAAACUGGGAAACUUGAGUGCAGAAGAGGACAGUGGAACUCCAUGUGUAGCGGUGAAAUGCGUAGAUAUAUGGAAGAACACCAGUGGCGAAGGCGGCUGUCUGGUCUGUAACUGACGCUGAGGCUCGAAAGUAUGGGUAGCAAACAGGAUUAGAUACCCUGGUAGUCCAUACCGUAAACGAUGAAUGCUAAGUGUUGGAGGGUUUCCGCCCUUCAGUGCUGCAGCUAACGCAUUAAGCAUUCCGCCUGGGGAGUACGGCCGCAAGGCUGAAACUCAAAGGAAUUGACGGGGGCCCGCACAAGCGGUGGAGCAUGUGGUUUAAUUCGAAGCUACGCGAAGAACCUUACCAGGUCUUGACAUACUAUGCAAAUCUAAGAGAUUAGACGUUCCCUUCGGGGACAUGGAUACAGGUGGUGCAUGGUUGUCGUCAGCUCGUGUCGUGAGAUGUUGGGUUAAGUCCCGCAACGAGCGCAACCCUUAUUAUCAGUUGCCAGCAUUAAGUUGGGCACUCUGGUGAGACUGCCGGUGACAAACCGGAGGAAGGUGGGGAUGACGUCAAAUCAUCAUGCCCCUUAUGACCUGGGCUACACACGUGCUACAAUGGAUGGUACAACGAGUUGCGAACUCGCGAGAGUAAGCUAAUCUCUUAAAGCCAUUCUCAGUUCGGAUUGUAGGCUGCAACUCGCCUACAUGAAGUCGGAAUCGCUAGUAAUCGCGGAUCAGCAUGCCGCGGUGAAUACGUUCCCGGGCCUUGUACACACCGCCCGUCACACCAUGAGAGUUUGUAACACCCAAAGUCGG
rnacentral:rRNA from 2 species